UCAUCCUGUCACAGUUGUGGGAGGGGUGAGUUUACCAAAGAGAGUAUUUGGAAUACUGUCUCAAUUACAAGAAAAGAAUCAAUCAAGUCACCUCUGUGAAUACUACACACAAUGGGACCCCAAAGGGUUCCAUUCCACAACAUUCAGUUUUAACAAAAGUAUUGCAGCCCCAUUUUGUGAAAGAGGAUUCUGUGUAGAAUAUGCUUGAGAACCUUCUUUCCCAUGUUUGUUCACUUUAAAGGUUUAGUGCAAUGUCCAUUGCUACAAUUCACACACCCCCC
rnacentral:lncRNA from 1 species